rnacentral:rRNA from 1 species
AGCAGUCGCCGCGGGAAUACAGAGGGUGCGAGCGUUAAUCGGAUUUACUGGGCGUAAAGCGUGCGUAGGCGGCUUCUUAAGUCGGAUGUGAAAUCCCUGAGCUUAACUUAGGAAUUGCAUUCGAUACUGGGAAGCUAGAGUAUGGGAGAGGAUGGUAGAAUUCCAGGUGUAGCGGUGAAAUGCGUAGAGAUCUGGAGGAAUACCGAUGGCGAAGGCAGCCAUCUGGCCUAAUACUGACGCUGAGGUACGAAAGCAUGGGGAGCAAACAGGAUUAGAUACCCGAGUAGUCCCUGUCUCUUAUAA